GGGUGCGUAACGCGUAUGCAACCUACCAUCAACAGGGGGAUAACACUGAGAAAUUGGUACUAAUACCCCAUAAUAUCUCAUGCGGCAUCGCAUGGGGUUGAAAACUCCGGUGGUUGAUGAUGGGCAUGCGUUGUAUAAGCUGGUUGGUGAGGUAACGGCUCACCAAGGCGACGAUACAUAGGGGGACUGAGAGGUUAACCCCCCACAUUGGUACUGAGACACGGACCAAACUCCUACGGGAGGCAGCAGUGAGGAAUAUUGGUCAAUGGACGCAAGUCUGAACCAGCCAUGCCGCGUGCAGGAUGACGGCUCUAUGAGUUGUAAACUGCUUUUGUACGAGGGUAAACCCCGAUACGUGUAUCGGGUUGAAAGUAUCGUACGAAUAAGGAUCGGCUAACUCCGUGCCAGCAGCCGCGGUAAUACGGAGGAUCCGAGUGUUAUCCGGAUUUAUUGGGUUUAAAGGGUGCGUAGGCGGUUUGAUAAGUUAGAGGUGAAAUGUCGGGGCUCAACCCCGAAACUGCCUCUAAUACUGUUGGACUAGAGAAUAGUUGCGGUAGGCGGAAUGUAUGGUGUAGCGGUGAAAUGCUUAGAGAUCAUACAGAACACCGAUUGCGAAGACAGCUUACCAAACUAUAUCUGACGUUGAGGCACGAAAGCGUGGGUAGCAAACAGGAUUAGAUACCCUGGUAGUCCACGCAGUAAACGAUGAUAACUCGUUGUCGGCG
rnacentral:rRNA from 1 species